AUGCUUAAUUUCAUCAAUGAAUUUCACAGACCGGAUACCAUGGAUUUACCAAUCCACCGAGUGCAAUUGUGUAAUUUCAAAUAUCAUAAAGUGGAAAACUUAUAUGAAUUUAGAUACCAAUGUCAGAGGUCCUUAAAUAAUAUAUUUAGAAUGGUGCGAACUAGCAUCAGUGGGAUCGAACUUUUGGUUCCUCUUCGGAGUGAGUGUGCCUUCCGUUAG